GGGGUCGUUAAGGAUUCGACGGGUAUAGGUCGAGCCUGGAUUGCGCUUCGUGCGGCGUCACGUUAAUCCGUCCAGUUUAAAUUAUAACUGCAAAAAAUAAUAACAAUUCUUACGCUUUAGCUGCCUAAUAAGCGCUUAACGUAGAUCCUCCUAACUUUGUCCACGGGUUAGAUCUGGGUCCUAAAUUUAGUGGACUUACGCUAUUCGCUCCCACCUGAAGUAGAUAGAAGAGACUAAUCAGGUUAGCUAUUGAUGGGUGCCUUGAUAUGCGGCGUUUUCAAUGGUGAAUUUUAAAUAGUAGAUCUAUGAGCGUAGAUAUCUGGGUGCCGAUAUGCUCGGACGCGGGUUCGACUCCCGCCGACUCCAUUA
rnacentral:tmRNA from 1 species